AUCCGAUUUCGGUGGCUUUAGUAUAGUAUACAGGAGGAGUGGGUAGAAUAUUUUGCCAGUAAGUAAAUAGUAAAUUAGGUCAGAUCCGAGACGGGAAGGCAAGAAGAAGGAUUGAAAAAGGUUCAAGGAGAAGAGAUUCAUGAGAGCGAUCGAAUAUCGUUACCACAUAUCGAUCAAGAUUAUUUUUGUUUUGAUUUUUUACUUGAAAUCUGGGAACGCAUUGCACUAGCAAGAUUGCGCGACGCAACGUAACGUAUCCUACCGCAACGAUUUCAUACUAAACGUCCUGUUAAAGGGACAAGCUCGUUAAGCUGGUACUGCUGCAAUAUCAGCACUCGUUUCAAAGUAGCAUGUUGCUCGUAAAUACGAUAUUCUUAGAUGACGAUGAUCCAUGCAUGACUGAUUAAUAGUUCGUUUCUUAAUUAACGAAGGUGGGUGUGCCCGCGUUACUUAGCUUGGCAAAGGAUGAAAAAGUUUAUACAUGUGUGUGUGUCUAAGGGCAUUGCAAUUCCAUCGCACAUAUCAACCAAAGUAGGUAAACCAGAGAACCCUUUAAAAAAAAAAUAAAAAUAAAAAAAGGCUUUCUAUUAGCCCGGUAAAUGAAUUCGACGGAUGACUGUCAUGAUCGAUGAAUAGUUGGAGUUAGCAAUAAAAAAAAAAUGAACGAUAAGCGGCUAAUUUCACAUCAAAGGCUCCCGCGUUUCUAUACGGACCGAAACACCUGCCGAGGCACGUAUCCACUUGUUAAAACAAAAAAAAAACGAAAAACAGAAAAAUAAACCCUCAAGAAAGGAAUUCUUUCUUUCUAUGAGUGUAACAAACAUGGGCACUAUGAAGAUUGUAGACUUUUUAGAUAGUACAAUAAAUAAGAUUGCUACGUUCUUCUUGUCAUAUAAUGUAG